ACUCAAAGGAAUAGACGGGGGCCCGCACAAGCAGCGGAGCGUGUGGUUUAAUUCGAUGCGACACGAAGAACCUUACCUGGGUUUGACAUAGAGGUAGUAGUGAAGCGAAAGCGGAACGACCCUUCGGGGAGCCUCUACAGGUGCUGCAUGGCUGUCGUCAGCUCGUGUCGUGAGAUGUUGGGUUAAGUCCCGCAACGAGCGCAACCCUUGUUGCUAGUUACAUGUGUCUAGCGAUACUGCCGGUCUUAAACCGGAGGAAGGUGGGGAUGACGUCAAGUCAGCAUGGCCUUUAUAUCCAGGGCUACACACACGCUACAAUGGGCAGUACAAUGGGCAGCGAAGGGGCGACCUGGAGCGAAUCUCAUCAAAGCUGUUCGUAGUUCAGAUUGUAGGCUGCAACCCGCCUACAUGAAGCUGGAGUUGCUAGUAAACGCAGGUCAGCUAUACUGCGUUGAAUACGUUCCCGGGCCUUGUACACACCGCCCGU
rnacentral:rRNA from 1 species